rnacentral:rRNA from 1 species
CGCGUAGGCGGACAGUUAAGUCAGAGGUGAAAGCCCAGGGCUCAACCUUGGAACUGCCUUUGAUACUGGCUGUCUUGAGUUCGGGAGAGGUGUGUGGAACUCCGAGUGUAGAGGUGAAAUUCGUAGAUAUUCGGAAGAACACCAGUGGCGAAGGCGACACACUGGCCCGAUACUGACGCUGAGGCGCGAAAGCGUGGGGAGCAAACAGGAUUAGAUACCCUGGUAGUCCACGCCGUAAACGAUGAGUGCUAGUUGUCGGCAUGCAUGCAUGUCGGUGACGCAGCUAACGCAUUAAGCACUCCGCCUGGGGAGUACGGUCGCAAGAUUAAA